rnacentral:other from 1 species
UUCCUGCUGGGGGGUAGGGGACUCAAUGUCUUUCACCCUACAAGCAUCAAUCCAGGGACCUGUCCCUCGCGAUGGUGUGCAUGCCGUUCCUUCGGGAUUCGGAAGCCUGAAGUCGCGAAAUGGGGCCCACGUUAAUCUCUGGGUUGAAAGGCUAGAAUCCCGAGCCUCGGCAGGAAC